CCAGACUCCUACGGGAGGCAGCAGUGGGGAAUAUUGCACAAUGGGGGAAACCCUGAUGCAGCGACGCCGCGUGAAGGACGAAGUAUUUCGGUACGUAAACUUCUAUCAGCAGGGAAGAAAAUGACGGUACCUGACCAAGAAGCCCCGGCUAACUACGUGCCAGCAGCCGCGGUAAUACGUAGGGGGCAAGCGUUAUCCGGAUUUACUGGGUGUAAAGGGAGCGUAGACGGCCAUGCAAGUCUGAUGUGAAAACCCGGGGCUCAACCCCGGGACUGCAUUGGAAACUGUGCGGCUGGAGUGUCGGAGAGGCAAGUGGAAUUCCUAGUGUAGCGGUGAAAUGCGUAGAUAUUAGGAGGAACACCAGUGGCGAAGGCGGCUUGCUGGACGACGACUGACGUUGAGGCUCGAAAGCGUGGGGAGCAAACAGGAUUAGAUACCCGCGUAUG
rnacentral:rRNA from 1 species